rnacentral:lncRNA from 1 species
AUUGUGGGCUUUGAUCUUUUGUAUAUUUACUUUUCUUACUCAUUGCUACUCUCACACGUUUAUCAAGUUUUAUUCCGCUACAUUGCACUUAUGACAAAAAAGUUCAACUUAGGGCAACCAAGUGCUCUCUUCGCUCCUAGCACAGUAGCACAUGCUAUUUCAUCAACCCCUUGGUGGUUGUCACCCGACACGAGGGCAAUCCUCCAA